rnacentral:lncRNA from 10 species
GUUUCGGUCACCGGACACCUCGAGCAUGUCACGAAGGGGGCAGGGCCUCCGGGGAACCCCCCCUCCUGCCAGAAGAGAGGCCGCUGGUCCCGCAGCCCCUUGCCCCACGCGAAGGGAGGCAGAGACACACAGCUCCUGUCCUGGGAAGCUGAUUCUGAGGGCGGGACCCUGCCCCUACCCCAGGGAGCCCAGAGUCUGAGGGGAGACGCCAUCUCAGCCCUGCCCUGUUCCUUCCUUUUGGACUAAUGGCUGAGUGACCCAACUGGAUUUCCUUGGCUUGAACCUGAGCAAGCCCUCUCUCUCUAAAGACUUGAAUGCCUACUCCCUUCACUGAGUGGUUUCUUCUGUUCCUGGCCAACUCAGAGUACUUGAGAGACUGGAGCAUUGGGGAUCAGAUUUUGGUGUGCAUCUGCAUCAUCUGGGAUACUUUUCAAAUGCAGACCCCCAGGCCUCGACUAAAGUGCUUCUGAUAUGGAUAAUUUAUAGAUCACACAUUGAGAAAUACUGCUGUGUGCUAUGGGAUUAAUAUUUGAUGUAUAAAAUGAAUAUGAGUAGCUACAUAACCACAGUUUUAUUGAUCAAAGACAUGAGUAGCUGGGAGAGAGAAACACUCUUUUCCCUUCCCUCCUCAGGUCACCUAAUCAUCAGAACCUUAUUCACUCCAAUGUCAGAAACCCACAUCAAGGAUGCAUUGAUCUGGCAUCCCCAGUGAGCUAAGUUCCCAGGAGACUAAGCCACCAGUAACCAUCACACCUCUCCACCUCCCUCAAUGAAGAACUUGCCACUACUGAAAGUAUAAGAUAAUAAUAGAUUAAAAUCCAUUAAUCAGUAAGUUAAUAUUCCAUGCAUAUUCUAACUCUUACUAUUGGGAUCUCUUUUUUUCAGUUUCUCUCAUCUACAGAUACAUUAAGAAUAGUCAGUUUCUUUUCUUUCUUUCUUUCUUUUCUUUUCUUUCUUUCUUUCUUUCUUUUCUUUUCUUUCUUUCUUUCUUUUUCUUUCUUUCUUUUUUUUUUUCUCUGAGACACAGUUUCUCUCUUGUUGCCCAGACUGGAGUGCUAUGGUGUGAUCUCAGCUCACCAGAACCUUUGCCUCCUGGGUUCAAGCAAUUCUCCUGCCUCAGCCUCCUGAGUAGCUGGGAUUGCAGGCAUGCACCACCACGCCUGGCUAAUUUUGUAUUUUUAGUAGAGACAGGGUUUCUCCAUGUUGGUCAGGCUGGUCUCGAACUCCCAACCUCAGGUGAUCCACCCGCCUCGGCCUCCCAAAGUGCUGGGACUACAGGUGUGAGCCACCACGCCCAGCCUAAGAAUAGUCAGUUUGUAACACAAACAUCUGCAGAACAAGAAUUAACCCAAUAGCGACAAAAACAAAUAUGAGAGAAUAAAUGUUAUUAUGUGUUUUUUAAACUAUGAGUUUGGAAAAGUACAAGAUGUCCUGCUUGUGCUCUCAAGUUAUAUUUAAUAUCAUCAAAUCCCACUCACCAUUGCAGGUUAUUGCUUAAGGGUCACUUGAGGUCGAAGUGGAGACAGGAGAGAAAGGACAAAGGGGGAAAGGAUGAGAGGGUGAAGACAUAGCCAGACUGCUCAAAGGAGUGCUUAGCAGGGAGGCUCCUGGAAACAUUCAUCUCCAGUGAGUGGACAGGGGCGCUUACUUGAGAAGGAGCCAGAGUAGGCUAUUGCUGUUCAACCCCAAACCCUGCACUUGAGACCCCCUCCACAAAUCACAUGCUGAGAUUUCCAAAAUACCCUUGCCCUUAGAAUCUCAAAGGAUUCUCACUUCAGCUGCAAGAAGCCAAGGGGGCAUUACUACACACCCUAUUUGACAAGUGGGGCUUUAAAGGCUACAGAAGUUUGGAAGAGGCAAUGCCUAGUGUAGAAAAGGAAACCAACAGAUCAUGAUGCAGUGGAAAGUAUACUGGAAUUUAUAAAUUUACAUUUAGCAGAAUCUCAAGCAUGUCAAAUUGCAUAGAAAAAAAGCUGGAAGGAAAUAUGGACCCAAUAUUGAUCAUUAUGGAUGACUGACGUUUUCUUCUUCAUACGUGUCUGGGUUUUCCUCUCCUCUC